UCUUGCGCAUACACAGGUUAGAACAAGU
rnacentral:piRNA from 1 species